GGUCAAGUUAUUAAGGGUGCAGGGCGGAUGCCUUGGCACUAGGAGCCGAUGAAGGACGUGAUAAGCUGCGAUAAGCUUCGGGGAGUUGCACGUAAACUUUGAUCCGAAGAUUUCCGAAUGAGGAAACUCACUUAGAGUAAUGUCUAAGUAUCAUUAAGUGAAUACAUAGCUUAAUGAGGGGAACUCAGGGAACUGAAACAUCUAAGUACCUGAAGGAAGAGAAAGAAAUUCGAUUCCGUAAGUAGCGGCGAGCGAACGCGGAUUAGCCCAAACCAAUAAAGUUUUCUUUAUUGGGGUUGCGGACAUAUCAUAACGAAGAGGUAUCGUAAUUGAAGAGGUUUGGAAAGACCCACCACAGAAGGUAAUAGUCCUGUAUGUUAAACGAGAAGACUUUAGAUAUGAUCCAGAGUACCACGGGACACGUGAAACCCUGUGGGAAGCAGGAGGGACCACCCUCCAAGGCUAAAUACUACCUAGUGACCGAUAGCGUAUAGUACCGUGAGGGAAAGGUGAAAAGAACCCCGGGAGGGGAGUGAAAUAGAACCUGAAACCCUGCACUUACAAGCUGUGGAAGCACAUUUCUUGUGUGACCGCGUACUUUUUGUAGAACGGGCCAACGAGUUACGUUAAGUAGCAAGGUUAAGCACUUAAGGUGCGGAGCCGUAGCGAAAGCGAGUUUUAACUGAGCGUUCAGUUACUUGACGUAGACCCGAAACCGGGCGACCUACCCAUGAGCAGGAUGAAGCGAAAGUAAAAUUUCGUGGAGGUCCGAACCCACGAGCGUUGAAAAGCUCGGGGAUGACUUGUGGGUAGCGGUGAAAUUCCAAUCGAGCCCGGAGAUAGCUGGUUCUCCCCGAAAUAGCUUUAGGGCUAGCCUCAAGGUGAGAGAUACGGAGGUAGAGCACUGAAUGUCCUAGGGGGUAUUGCACCUACCGAAGACUAUCAAACUCCGAAUGCCGUCAUCUUAUACUUGGGAGUCAGACUGUGGGUGAUAAGAUUCAUAGUCGAAAGGGCAACAGCCCAGAUCGUCAGCUAAGGUCCCUAAAUGUAAGUUAAGUGGUAAAGGAUGUGGGAUUGCACAGACAACCAGGAUGUUGGCUUAGAAGCAGCCACUCAUUCAAAGAGUGCGUAAUAGCUCACUGGUCGAGUGAUCCUGCGCCGAAGAUUUCCGGGGCUAAAACUUACUACCGAAGCUACGGCAUCAGUAAUGAUGGGUAGGGGAGCUUCCCAUACGGGUUGAAGCAUGACCGUAAGGACAUGUGGACAGUAUGGGAGUGAGAAUGUUGGCAUGAGUAGCGAGAUGUGGGUGAGAAUCCCACAGGCCGUAAACCCAAGGUUUCCAGGGGAAGGUUCGUCCGCCCUGGGUUAGUCGGGACCUAAGCUGAGGCCGAAAGGCGUAGGUGAUGGACAACAGGUUGAUAUUCCUGUACUACCGAUAACCGUUUGAGAGAAGGGAUGACACAGUAGGAUAAGCUAAGCACACUGUUGGUUAUGUGUGCCCAAGCAUUGAGGCAGUCAAAGUAGGCAAAUCCGCUUUGAUAAUGCUGGGAUGUGAUGGGGAGCGAAAUUUAGUAGCGAAGUAGCUGAUUUCACACUGUCAAGAAAAGUCUCUAUCGAGGUUAAAGGUACCCGUACCGCAAACCGACACAGGUGGGUGAGGAGAGUAUCCUAAGGCCAGCGAGAGAACUGUUGUUAAGGAACUCGGCAAAAUGACCCCGUAACUUAGGGAUAAGGGGUGCCACCAUCAGGUGGCCGCAGAGAAUAGGCCCAAGCGACUGUUUACCAAAAACAUAGGUUUCUGCUAAGUCGCAAGACGAUGUAUAGGAGCUGACGCCUGCCCGGUGCUGGAAGGUUAAGGGGAUCUGUUAGAGCAAUCGAAGCAGUGAACUUAAGCCCCAGUAAACGGCGGCCGUAACUAUAACGGUCCUAAGGUAGCGAAAUUCCUUGUCGGGUAAGUUCCGACCCGCACGAAAGGCGUAACGAUUUGGGGCUUUACUGUAGCUUGACAUUGGGUCUUGGUACUACAUGUACAGGAUAGGUGGGAGGCUUUGAAACCAGGACGCCAGUUUUGGCGGAGCCAUCCUUGGGAUACCACCCUUGUAGUACUGGGACUCUAACCAUAGGCCAUGAAUCUGGUCUUGGGACACUGUCAGGUGGGCAGUUUGACUGGGGCGGUCGCCUCCCAAAAGGUAACGGAGGCGCUCAAAGGUUCUCUCAGUACGGUCGGAAAUCGUACGUAGAGUGUAAAGGCAAAAGAGAGCUUGAUUGCAAGACAUACAGGUCGAGCAAGGAUGAAAAUCGGACUUAGUGAUCCGGUGGUUCUGCGUGGAAGGGCCAUCGCUCAACGGAUAAAAGCUACCCUGGGGAUAACAGGCUUAUCUCCCCCAAGAGUCCACAUCGACGGGGAGGUUUGGCACCUCGAUGUCGGCUCAUCACAUCCUGGGGCUGUAGUAGGUCCCAAGGGUUGGGCUGUUCGCCCAUUAAAGUGGUACGCGAGCUGGGUUCAGAACGUCGUGAGACAGUUCGGUCCCUAUCCGUCGCAGGCGUAGGAAAUUUGAGAAGACCUGUCCUUAGUACGAGAGGACCGGGAUGGAC
rnacentral:rRNA from 1 species